CAUUAACGCUGGCGGCGUGCCUAAUACAUGCAAGUCGAACGCUUCUUUCCUCCCGAGUGCUUGCACUCAAUUGGAAAGAGGAGUGGCGGACGGGUGAGUAACACGUGGGUAACCUACCCAUCAGAGGGGGAUAACACUUGGAAACAGGUGCUAAUACCGCAUAACAGUUUAUGCCGCAUGGCAUAAGAGUGAAAGGCGCUUUCGGGUGUCGCUGAUGGAUGGACCCGCGGUGCAUUAGCUAGUUGGUGAGGUAACGGCUCACCAAGGCCACGAUGCAUAGCCGACCUGAGAGGGUGAUCGGCCACACUGGGACUGAGACACGGCCCAGACUCUACGGGAGGCAGCAGUAGGGAAUCUUCGGCAAUGGACGAAAGUCUGACCGAGCAACGCCGCGUGAGUGAAGAAGGUUUUCGGAUCGUAAAACUCUGUUGUUAGAGAAGAACAAGGACGUUAGUAACUGAACGUCCCCUGACGGUAUCUAACCAGAAAGCCACGGCUAACUACGUGCCAGCAGCCGCGGUAAUACGUAGGUGGCAAGCGUUGUCCGGAUUUAUUGGGCGUAAAGCGAGCGCAGGCGGUUUCUUAAGUCUGAUGUGAAAGCCCCCGGCUCAACCGGGGAGGGUCAUUGGAAACUGGGAGACUUGAGUGCAGAAGAGGAGAGUGGAAUUCCAUGUGUAGCGGUGAAAUGCGUAGAUAUAUGGAGGAACACCAGUGGCGAAGGCGGCUCUCUGGUCUGUAACUGACGCUGAGGCUCGAAAGCGUGGGGAGCAAACAGGAUUAGAUACCCUGGUAGUCCACGCCGUAAACGAUGAGUGCUAAGUGUUGGAGGGUUUCCGCCCUUCAGUGCUGCAGCAAACGCAUUAAGCACUCCGCCUGGGGAGUACGACCGCAAGUUGAAACUCAAAGGAAUUGACGGGGGCCCGACAAGCGGUGGAGCAUGUGUUUAAUUCGAAGCAACGCGAAGAACCUUACCAGGUCUUGACAUCCUUUGACCACUCUAGAGAUAGAGCUUUCCCUUCGGGGACAAAGGACAGUGGUGCAUGGUUGUCGUCAGCUCGUGUCGUGAGAUGUUGGGUUAAGUCCGCAACGAGCGCAACCCUUAUUGUUAGUUGCCAUCAUUUAGUUGGGCACUCUAGCGAGACUGCCGGUGACAAACCGGAGGAAGGUGGGGAUGACGUCAAAUCAUCAUGCCCCUUAUGACCUGGGCUACACACGUGCUACAAUGGGAAGUACAACGAGUCGCUAGACCGCGAGGUCAUGCAAAUCUCUUAAAGCUUCUCUCAGUUCGGAUUGCAGGCUGCAACUCGCCUGCAUGAAGCCGGAAUCGCUAGUAAUCGCGGAUCAGCACGCCGCGGUGAAUACGUUCCCGGGCCUUGUACACACCGCCCGUCACACCACGAGAGUUUGUAACACCCGAAGUCGGUGAGGUAACCUUUUUGGAGCCAGCCGCCUAAGGUGGGAUAGAUGAUUUGGGUGAAGUCGUAACAAGCCACU
rnacentral:rRNA from 1 species